rnacentral:miRNA from 14 species
AGGCAUCUUUUGGAGUGCAAAUG